rnacentral:rRNA from 1 species
AUUGAACGCUGGCGGCAUGCUUUACACAUGCAAGUCGAACGGUAACAGGCCGCAAGGUGCUGACGAGUGGCGAACGGGUGAGUAAUGCAUCGGAACGUGCCCAGUCGUGGGGGAUAACUACUCGAAAGAGUAGCUAAUACCGCAUACGAUCUAUGGAUGAAAGCGGGGGACCGUAAGGCCUCGCGCGAUUGGAGCGGCCGAUGUCAGAUUAGGUAGUUGGUGGGGUAAAGGCUCACCAAGCCAACGAUCUGUAGCUGGUCUGAGAGGACGACCAGCCACACUGGGACUGAGACACGGCCCAGACUCCUACGGGAGGCAGCAGUGGGGAAUUUUGGACAAUGGGCGCAAGCCUGAUCCAGCAAUGCCGCGUGCAGGAAGAAGGCCUUCGGGUUGUAAACUGCUUUUGUACGGAACGAAACGGCUCUGGUUAAUACCCGGGGCUAAUGACGGUACCGUAAGAAUAAGCACCGUCUAACUACGUG